AUGAACGCUGGCGGCGUGCCUAAUACAUGCAAGUCGAACGCUUCACUUCGGUGAAGAGUGGCGAACGGGUGAGUAAUACAUAAGUAACCUGGCAUCUACAGGGGGAUAACUGAUGGAAACGUCAGCUAAGACCGCAUAGGUGUAGAGAUCGCAUGAACUCUAUAUGAAAAGUGCUACGGGACUGGUAGAUGAUGGACUUAUGGCGCAUUAGCUUGUUGGUAGGGUAACGGCCUACCAAGGCGACGAUGCGUAGCCGACCUGAGAGGGUGACCGGCCACACUGGGACUGAGACACGGCCCAGACUCCUACGGGAGGCAGCAGUAGGGAAUUUUCGGCAAUGGGGGAAACCCUGACCGAGCAACGCCGCGUGAAGGAAGAAGUAAUUCGUUAUGUAAACUUCUGUCAUAGAGGAAGAACGGUGGAUAUAGGGAAUGAUAUCCAAGUGACGGUACUCUAUAAGAAAGCCACGGCUAACUACGUGCCAGCAGCCGCGGUAAUACGUAGGUGGCGAGCGUUAUCCGGAAUUAUUGGGCGUAAAGAGGGAGCAGGCGGCACUAAGGGUCUGUGGUGAAAGAUCGAAGCUUAACUUCGGUAAGCCAUGGAAACCGUAGAGCUAGAGUGUGUGAGAGGAUCGUGGAAUUCCAUGUGUAGCGGUGAAAUGCGUAGAUAUAUGGAGGAACACCAGUGGCGAAGGCGACGAUCUGGCGCAUAACUGACGCUCAGUCCCGAAAGCGUGGGGAGCAAAUAGGAUUAGAUACCCUAGUAGUCCACGCCGUAAACGAUGAGUACUAAGUGUUGGGUGUCAAAGCUCAGUGCUGCAGUUAACGCAAUAAGUACUCCGCCUGAGUAGUACGUUCGCAAGAAUGAAACUCAAAGGAAUUGACGGGGGCCCGCACAAGCGGUGGAGCAUGUGGUUUAAUUCGAAGCAACGCGAAGAACCUUACCAGGUCUUGACAUCCUACUAACGAGAUAGAGAUAUGUUAGGUGCCCUUCGGGGAAAGUAGAGACAGGUGGUGCAUGGUUGUCGUCAGCUCGUGUCGUGAGAUGUUGGGUUAAGUCCCGCAACGAGCGCAACCCCUGUUGCCAGUUGCCAGCAUUAAGUUGGGGACUCUGGCGAGACUGCCGGUGACAAGCCGGAGGAAGGCGGGGAUGACGUCAAAUCAUCAUGCCCCUUAUGACCUGGGCUACACACGUGCUACAAUGGACAGAGCAGAGGGAAGCGAAGCCGCGAGGUGGAGCGAAACCCAUAAAACUGUUCUCAGUUCGGACUGCAGUCUGCAACUCGACUGCACGAAGAUGGAAUCGCUAGUAAUCGCGAAUCAGCAUGUCGCGGUGAAUACGUUCUCGGGCCUUGUACACACCGCCCGUCACACCAUGAGAGCCGGGGGGACCCGAAGUCGGUAGUCUAACCGUAAGGAGGACGCCGCCGAAGGUAAAACUGGUGAUUGGGGUG
rnacentral:rRNA from 1 species